CACGUAGGGCGCAAGCGUUGUCCGGAAUUAUUGGGCGUAAAGAGCUCGUAGGCGGUCUGUUGCGUCCGCUGUGAAAACUCGGGGCUUAACCCCGAGCCUGCAGUGGAUACGGGCAGACUAGAGGUAGGUAGGGGAGAAUGGAAUUCCCGGUGUAGCGGUGAAAUGCGCAGAUAUCAGGAGGAACACCGGUGGCGAAGGCGGUUCUCUGGGCCUGAUCUGACGCUGAGGAGCGAAAGCGUGGGGAGCGAACAGG
rnacentral:rRNA from 1 species